rnacentral:rRNA from 1 species
ACAGCAGUCGCCGCGGUAAUACGGAGGGAGCUAGCGUUGUUCGGAAUUACUGGGCGUAAAGCGCGCGUAGGCGGUUACUCAAGUCAGAGGUGAAAGCCCGGGGCUCAACCCCGGAACUGCCUUUGAAACUAGGUGACUAGAAUCUUGGAGAGGUCAGUGGAAUUCCGAGUGUAGAGGUGAAAUUCGUAGAUAUUCGGAAGAACACCAGUGGCGAAGGCGACUGACUGGACAAGUAUUGACGCUGAGGUGCGAAAGCGUGGGGAGCAAACAGGAUUAGAUACCCGGGUAGUCCCUGUCUCUUAUAC